AGAGAGGAGCCUUAGCCCUGGGACUCUAAGGCAUUUCCACUUGCUGAUCAGCACUGAACACAGAGGACUCACCAUGGAGUUGGGGCUGAGCUGGGUUUUACUUGUUGCUAUUUUAGAAGGUGUCCAGUGUGAGGUGCAGCUGGUGGAGUCUGGAGGAGGCUUGGUACAGCCUGGGGGGUCCCUGAGACUCUCCUGUGCAGCCUCUGAAUUCACCUUCAGUAGUAAUGACAUGAGCUGGGUCCGCCAGGCUCCAGAGAAGGGACUGGAGUGGGUCUCAUACAUUAGUAACAGUGGUAGAACCACAUACUAUGCAGACUCCGUGAAGGGCCGAUUCACCAUAUCCAGAGACAACGCCAAGAACUCACUGUAUCUGCAAAUGAACAGCCUGAGAGCCGAGGACACGGCUGUGUAUUACUGUGUGAGAGACACAGUGAGGGGAAGUCAGUGUGAGCCCAGACACAAACCUCCCUGCUGGGGUUCCCAUGACCACCAGGGGGCGCCAGGACACUGUGCACGGGGCUGUCUCCAGGGCAGUCCGAUCCAUGUCUCUCUCUCACUGCAGGUUGCUGCCACACCAAAUCUUUGGCGUGGCUCAGGCAAGAACUUUUGGCGUUACAUUACCAUGGUGCUUCAGUUUCCUGCAGUGUUCAGUGUAGUAACACGCUGUACAGGUCCUGGUGAGAAGCCACCCAAUAUCUGUGCCCUUCAUCAGUGUCCACACCAUCGGGUCUAUGAUGAUCUGGGCUUCACUUGUCAUCACUCUCAAUAUUGA